UGCUCAAGAUCACGUCAACAGAUUUUUCACCUAGUCGGCUCGUGUAUUAGAACCAGCGACUUUUCAGUUACAGGCCCAACGCUCUUAACUGCUGGGAUACCUGCCCCCCAAGCAUCUCAAUCCAAUAGACACAGUCCAUGGUCCGGGUGUUGAUUCCACAGCUCAUCGAGAGCCCAACAUCUGAGACAGACACAACUUACAUCUUCAUUACUGAAACAGUUCCCUUGCCUCAAGGAUUCAGAGGACAGGUCGGAACCAACAUGGCUGAAUACCUCUGGCGGAUGGCAAGGAGACCCGACCCAUCUGGAGGUGCAAUUGUAAAGGGACCUCGGACUGGUGUUAAAGUAUACACCGGACAGACGGCGAUGAAAAUGAGUUGUUCGGUUGUGUUCAUUUUGUAAUGAUAUCUCCUCCCAUUCCCCCCCAGUUAAUAAAUACAUGUUAUUUUA